GUUGAAUACAAUUUGGAAAAGAAAAAUGGAAACUUUGGGGGGAAGGGAGGAAGAUUCUGAAAUGGACUGCUGAAGGAUGGUCUCGUUGGCUGCAGGAAACCUGAGCAGAUACCCUUCUAUUAGGAGUUAAGCCUUGGAUCCCCUUCUCCUGGGAAGUAAAAUGGGUGAGGACCCAAAGGAAAGCUUUCUCGUCAUCCCUGCAUUACUAGAGCUGGCCUCCAGAGGCCAGGAUGGCAACAACACUGUCUUCAGGAAGGUCAGUUAAAUGGCUUUCAAAUAUCUUCAGAAGCUCAAGGAAUGAAAACAGCAAUGAGGGAAUAAGUACCCUGAAUGAUUCUUGAAGUCUUUGGUGGACAGAAGAUAUUAGUUGCUAUAACCAAGCAGGUUUUACCAUCGUACCAUCCAGGCACUAGUGACAUAUAGGCUUUCCAGAGUAGCUAUGAUGAAAACAUUCAUAAAGCAAACCCUGCAAGUUCUGUGGGUUUCUUUUUUAAUCAAAUGAUUGAAAGGAAAUGAAGGCUAAUCUGGAUAUGAUUCUCUCAGCAUUUCUAAAUUAAGUCUGAAAAUUUU